GCGGGGGUAGCAAAGUCUGGUCAAAUGCGCAGGACUUAAGACAUAGUUAUAAGGCAGAAAUCCUGUCUCUUAGUGAGUCCGUGGGUUCGAAUCCCAUCUCCCGCA
rnacentral:tRNA from 1 species